rnacentral:rRNA from 1 species
UGAGGAAUAUUGGACAAUGGACGAAAGUCUGAUCCAGCCAUGCCGCGUGUAGGAAGAAUGCCCUCUGGGUUGUAAACUACUUUUAUAUGGGAAUAAACCCCCCGACGUGUCGGGGGCUGAAUGUACCAUACGAAUAAGGACCGGCUAACUCCGUGCCAGCAGCCGCGGUAAUACGGAGGGUCCAAGCGUUAUCCGGAUUUAUUGGGUUUAAAGGGUCCGUAGGUGGGAUUGUAAGUCAGUGGUGAAAUCUUUCGGCUCAACCGGAAAACUGCCAUUGAAACUGCAGUUCUUGAGUAUGCUCGAUGUAGGCGGAAUAUGUCAUGUAGCGGUGAAAUGCAUAGAUAUGACAUAGAACACCGAUAGCGAAGGCAGCUUACAAGCGCAUAACUGACACUGAGGGACGAAAGCGUGGGGAGCGAACAGGAUUAGAUACCCUGGUAGUCCACGCCGUAAACGAUGAUCACUAGACAUUGGCGAUAUACUGUCGGUGUCAAAGCGAAAGUAUUAAGUGAUCCACCUGGGGAGUACGAUCGCAAGAUUG